ACUGGGGACAUGGGAAAACCUCUGGUAUCUAAGAGAUAAACAGUCAUGCAUUCUGCUUCCCAAGGAUCCCAGGAGACAAAAACACUGGAAGAGACAGCAUAAGAUUUGCAUCAUGCUCAUGCUCAUCAUGACGGCAUUGCUACUCUGAGGUAACUUUUCAAAGGAUGUCCCUCUGAGUCUGAAAGCCCUCCCAAGGUCAGAC